rnacentral:rRNA from 1 species
UACGUAGGUGGCAAGCGAUACUCGGAAUCACUAGGCGUAAAGCGCAGGUAGGCGGUUGGGUAAGUCUUUUGUGAAAGCUCCUGGCUUAACUGGGAGAGGUCAAGGGAAACUACCCGGCUAGAGUGUGGCAGAGGAAGCUGGAAUUCCCGGUGUAGCGGUGAAAUGCGUAGAUAUCGGGAGGAAUACCUAUGGCGAAAGCAGGCUUCUGGGCCAUCACUGACGCUGAUCUGCGAAAGCUAGGGGAGCAAACAG